GGUUUCUGAUUUCUUUGGUGUUGGGUUGGGCCGAGUUAGGUUUUAGGUUAGGUAUUGGGCCACUGUAAUUGGGCCAAUCAGGUUUAGUGUUUUGGUUAUAGGCAUUUGGGCUAAUUGGGACUUUGGAUUUUGUAAUCUGGACUGAUGUUAUGGACAUUUAAAAUUUGCUUUUAUGUUGGUUUUAUUUAUUUUAUUAUUUUUUAUCGGGUCGGGAAAAUUGGGCCUAUUACAG
rnacentral:lncRNA from 1 species